AGUGAACGCUGGCGGUAGGCCUAACACAUGCAAGUCGAACGGCAGCACAGUAAGAGCUUGCUCUUACGGGUGGCGAGUGGCGGACGGGUGAGGAAUACAUCGGAAUCUCCUUUUUCGGGGGGGAUAACGUAGGGAAACUUACGCUAAUACCGCAUACGACCUACGGGUGAAAGCAGGGGAUCUUCGGACCUUGCGCGAUUGAAUGAGCCGAUGUCGGAUUAGCUAGUUGGCGGGGUAAAGGCCCACCAAGGCGACGAUCCGUAGCUGGUCUGAGAGGAUGAUCAGCCACACUGGAACUGAGACACGGUCCAGACUCCUACGGGAGGCAGCAGUGGGGAAUAUUGGACAAUGGGCGCAAGCCUGAUCCAGCCAUACCGCGUGUGUGAAGAAGGCCUUCGGGUUGUAAAGCACUUUUGUUGGGAAAGAAAAGCAGCAGGUUAAUACCCCGCUGUUCUGACGUUACCCAAAGAAUAAGCACCGGCUAACUUCGUG
rnacentral:rRNA from 1 species